UUUAUGGAGAGUUUGAUCCUGGCUCAGGAUGAACGCUGGCGGCGUGCCUAAUACAUGCAAGUCGAGCGAACGGACGAGAAGCUUGCUUCUCUGAUGUUAGCGGCGGACGGGGGAGUAACACGUGGAUAACCUACCUAUAAGACUGGGAUAACUUCGGGAAACCGGAGCUAAUACCGGAUAAUAUUUUGAACCGCAUGG
rnacentral:rRNA from 1 species